rnacentral:rRNA from 1 species
UCAAGUUAUUAAGGGUGCAGGGCGGAUGCCUUGGCACUAGGAGCCGAUGAAGGACGUGAUAAGCUGCGAUAAGCUUCGGGGAGUUGCACGUAAACUUUGAUCCGAAGAUUUCCGAAUGAGGAAACUCACUUAGAGUAAUGUCUAAGUAUCAUUAAGUGAAUACAUAGCUUAAUGAGGGGAACUCAGGGAACUGAAACAUCUAAGUACCUGAAGGAAGAGAAAGAAAUUCGAUUCCGUAAGUAGCGGCGAGCGAACGCGGAUUAGCCCAAACCAAUAAAGUUUUCUUUAUUGGGGUUGCGGACAUAUCAUAACGAAGAGGUAUCGUAAUUGAAGAGGUUUGGAAAGACCCACCACAGAAGGUAAUAGUCCUGUAUGUUAAACGAGAAGACUUCAGAUAUGAUCCAGAGUACCACGGGACACGUGAAACCCUGUGGGAAGCAGGAGGGACCACCCUCCAAGGCUAAAUACUACCUAGUGACCGAUAGCGUAUAGUACCGUGAGGGAAAGGUGAAAAGAACCCCGGGAGGGGAGUGAAAUAGAACCUGAAACCCUGCACUUACAAGCUGUGGAAGCACAUUUCUUGUGUGACCGCGUACUUUUUGUAGAACGGGCCAACGAGUUACGUUAAGUAGCAAGGUUAAGCACUUAAGGUGCGGAGCCGUAGCGAAAGCGAGUUUUAACUGAGCGUUCAGUUACUUGACGUAGACCCGAAACCGGGCGACCUACCCAUGAGCAGGAUGAAGCGAAAGUAAAAUUUCGUGGAGGUCCGAACCCACGAGCGUUGAAAAGCUCGGGGAUGACUUGUGGGUAGCGGUGAAAUUCCAAUCGAGCCCGGAGAUAGCUGGUUCUCCCCGAAAUAGCUUUAGGGCUAGCCUCAAGGUGAGAGAUACGGAGGUAGAGCACUGAAUGUCCUAGGGGGUAUUGCACCUACCGAAGACUAUCAAACUCCGAAUGCCGUCAUCUUAUACUUGGGAGUCAGACUGUGGGUGAUAAGAUUCAUAGUCGAAAGGGCAACAGCCCAGAUCGUCAGCUAAGGUCCCUAAAUGUAAGUUAAGUGGUAAAGGAUGUGGGAUUGCACAGACAACCAGGAUGUUGGCUUAGAAGCAGCCACUCAUUCAAAGAGUGCGUAAUAGCUCACUGGUCGAGUGAUCCUGCGCCGAAGAUUUCCGGGGCUAAAACUUACUACCGAAGCUACGGCAUCAGUAAUGAUGGGUAGGGGAGCUUCCCAUACGGGUUGAAGCAUGACCGUAAGGACAUGUGGACAGUAUGGGAGUGAGAAUGUUGGCAUGAGUAGCGAGAUGUGGGUGAGAAUCCCACAGGCCGUAAACCCAAGGUUUCCAGGGGAAGGUUCGUCCGCCCUGGGUUAGUCGGGACCUAAGCUGAGGCCGAAAGGCGUAGGUGAUGGACAACAGGUUGAUAUUCCUGUACUACCGAUAACCGUUUGAGAGAAGGGAUGACACAGUAGGAUAAGCUAAGCACACUGUUGGUUAUGUGUGCCCAAGCAUUGAGGCAGUCAAAGUAGGCAAAUCCGCUUUGAUAAUGCUGGGAUGUGAUGGGGAGCGAAAUUUAGUAGCGAAGUAGCUGAUUUCACACUGUCAAGAAAAGUCUCUAUCGAGGUUAAAGGUACCCGUACCGCAAACCGACACAGGUGGGUGAGGAGAGUAUCCUAAGGCCAGCGAGAGAACUGUUGUUAAGGAACUCGGCAAAAUGACCCCGUAACUUAGGGAUAAGGGGUGCCACCAUCCGGUGGCCGCAGAGAAUAGGCCCAAGCGACUGUUUACCAAAAACAUAGGUUUCUGCUAAGUCGCAAGACGAUGUAUAGGAGCUGACGCCUGCCCGGUGCUGGAAGGUUAAGGGGAUCUGUUAGAGCAAUCGAAGCAGUGAACUUAAGCCCCAGUAAACGGCGGCCGUAACUAUAACGGUCCUAAGGUAGCGAAAUUCCUUGUCGGGUAAGUUCCGACCCGCACGAAAGGCGUAACGAUUUGGGCACUGUCUCAACAACAGACUCGGUGAAAUUGUAAUUCCGGUGAAGAUGCCGGAUACCUGCGACAGGACGGAAAGACCCCAUGGAGCUUUACUGUAGCUUGACAUUGGGUCUUGGUACUACAUGUACAGGAUAGGUGGGAGGCUUUGAAACCAGGACGCCAGUUUUGGCGGAGCCAUCCUUGGGAUACCACCCUUGUAGUACUGGGACUCUAACCAUAGGCCAUGAAUCUGGUCUUGGGACACUGUCAGGUGGGCAGUUUGACUGGGGCGGUCGCCUCCCAAAAGGUAACGGAGGCGCUCAAAGGUUCUCUCAGUACGGUCGGAAAUCGUACGUAGAGUGUAAAGGCAAAAGAGAGCUUGAUUGCAAGACAUACAGGUCGAGCAAGGAUGAAAAUCGGACUUAGUGAUCCGGUGGUUCUGCGUGGAAGGGCCAUCGCUCAACGGAUAAAAGCUACCCUGGGGAUAACAGGCUUAUCUCCCCCAAGAGUCCACAUCGACGGGGAGGUUUGGCACCUCGAUGUCGGCUCAUCACAUCCUGGGGCUGUAGUAGGUCCCAAGGGUUGGGCUGUUCGCCCAUUAAAGUGGUACGCGAGCUGGGUUCAGAACGUCGUGAGACAGUUCGGUCCCUAUCCGUCGCAGGCGUAGGAAAUUUGAGAAGACCUGUCCUUAGUACGAGAGGACCGGGAUGGACGUACCUCUGGUGUACCAGUUGUCCUGCCAAGGGCAUGGCUGGGUAGCUAUGUACGGAAUGGAUAAGCGCUGAAAGCAUCUAAGCGCGAAGCCAACUUCAAGAUAAGAUUUCCCACCGCAAGGGUAAGACCCCAGAAAGACUAUCUGGUUGAUAGGUCGAAGGUGUAAGUGCAGCAAUGUAUUUAGCUUAUCGAUACUAAUAGGUCGAGGACUUGACCAA